rnacentral:rRNA from 1 species
UACAGAGGUCUCAAGCGUUGUUCGGAUUCAUUGGGCGUAAAGGGUGCGUAGGUGGCGCCAUAAGUCAGGUGUGAAACCUCGGGGCUUAACUCCGAAACUGCAUUUGAUACUGUGGUGCUUGAGGACUGGAGAGGAGACUGGAAUUCACGGUGUAGCAGUGAAAUGCGUAGAUAUCGUGAGGAAGACCAGUGGCGAAGGCGGGUCUCUGGACAGUUCCUGACACUGAGGCACGAAGGCCAGGGGAGCAAACGGG